rnacentral:rRNA from 1 species
CAGUAGCCGCGGUAAUACGUAGGUGGCAAGCGUUGUCCGGAAUUAUUGGGCGUAAAGGGCUCGCAGGCGGUUUCUUAAGUCUGAUGUGAAAGACCGGGGCUCAACUUCGGGGUUGCAUUUGAAACUGUCCGGCUAGAGUGUCGGAGAGGUAAGCGGAAUUCCUAGUGUAGUGGUGAAAUGCGUAGAUAUUAGGAGGAACAUCGGUGGCGAAGGCGGCUUACUGGACGAUAACUGACGCUGAGGCUCGAAAGCGUGGGGAGCAAACAGGAUUAGAUACCCCUGUAGUCCCUGUCUCUUAUAC